CUGCGGCGUGCUUAACACAUGCAAGUCGAACGAAGCACUCUAAUCGAAGAUUGAGAAAGCUUGCUUUUGAUUGAUUCACCUUGAGGUGACUGAGUGGCGGACGGGUGAGUAACGCGUGGGUAACCUACCCUAUACAGGGGGAUAACAGUUGGAAACGACUGCUAAUACCGCAUAAGCGCACAGGACCGCAUGGUCUAGUGUGAAAAACUCCGGUGGUAUAGGAUGGACCCGCGUCUGAUUAGCUAGUUGGUGAGGUAACAGCUCACCAAGGCGACGAUCAGUAGCCGACCUGAGAGGGUGACCGGCCACAUUGGGACUGAGACACGGCCCAAACUCCUACGGGAGGCAGCAGUGGGGAAUAUUGCACAAUGGGCGAAAGCCUGAUGCAGCGACGCCGCGUGAACGAAGAAGUAUUUCGGUAUGUAAAGUUCUAUCAGCAGGGAAGAAAAAUGACGGUACCUGACUAAGAAGCUCCGGCUAAAUACGUGCCAGCCGCGGC
rnacentral:rRNA from 1 species